CCUACGGGUGGCAGCAGUGAGGAAUAUUGGUCAAUGGCCGGAAGGCUGAACCAGCCAAGUCGCGUGAGGGACGACUGCCCUAUGGGUUGUAAACCUCUUUUAUAAGGGAAGAAUAAAUGCUACGUGUAGCAUGAUGCCUGUACCUUAUGAAUAAGCAUCGGCUAACUCCGUGCCAGCAGCCGCGGUAAUACGGAGGAUGCGAGCGUUAUCCGGAUUUAUUGGGUUUAAAGGGUGCGUAGGCGGUUUUUUAAGUUAGUGGUAAAACUUCGGGGCUUCACCUUGAUUUGCCAUUAAUACUGUAAGACUCGAGUUCAGACGAGGUAGGCGGAAUAAGUUAAGUAGCGGUGAAAUGCUUAGAUAUAACGUAGAACGCCGAUAGCGAAGGCAGCUUACCGGACUGCGACUGACGCUGAAGCACGAGAGCGUGGGUAGCGAACAGGAUUAGAUACCCCUGUAGUC
rnacentral:rRNA from 1 species